rnacentral:tRNA from 1 species
GCAUUGCCGGGCUGGCUUGGUCAAGCGGCCAACGCGGUCGUGCGGAUAGUGCCAUAUCAUCGCGAUGCCC